rnacentral:lncRNA from 1 species
CUGGCCACAGUACAUAGCGGGGUCGCAAAGCCAAGCUGCCUUUUCUUCUUUUUGUGCUAUCAUGUCAACUGCAAGGACUGUAUACCAAAGGAAGGUGUCUCUUCUUCCUCCCAGCAGAGCCCUGCUUCCUCAGAGUGCACCAGGCUCCCUUGCAGCUGACUCGGGAGUUGGGAUGUGGUGAAUGCAGAUCCCACAGCAAGCCUGGGGAUGGUGAAGACAUGGCCGAGCAGAAUUGCCGUGAACCUACGCUAUCAGCCCACAGCUUGCCUUGCUGAGCCCAUGAGCACUGCUUCUAGCCACUUUGGGGAUUCGGAGAACAAGGUGGAAACUUUCUCUUACUACUCAGUUCUCAAGUAACUAGGAUUUAAUACUGCCCUGGAGCAUCACAUCAUCAAGGGGCCACUGAAGUUUUAGCUGUGACUGAAGGUAAACAUGGAAUUGUAUCUUGGCAUGCCAUAGCUUGCCUGUAGGCAGGAAAACUAGGCCUAAUCAUAAUUUAAUUAUGAAAUGAUUUUCCCCCCAGAUUAUGUAAAUUGCUCCUGACACUGAUCAGUGUGUUUAACGAACCCACUCCUACCAUUGCCCUCUGCUUGCCUCUGAUC